GAUGAACGCUGGCGGCGUGCCUAAUACAUGCAAGUCGAGCGAACGGACGAGAAGCUUGCUUCUCUGAUGUUAGCGGCGGACGGGUGAGUAACACGUGGAUAACCUACCUAUAAGACUGGGAUAACUUCGGGAAACCGGAGCUAAUACCGGAUAAUAUUUUGAACCGCAUGGUUCAAAAGUGAAAGACGGUCUUGCUGUCACUUAUAGAUGGAUCCGCGCUGCAUUAGCUAGUUGGUAAGGUAACGGCUUACCAAGGCAACGAUGCAUAGCCGACCUGAGAGGGUGAUCGGCCACACUGGAACUGAGACACGGUCCAGACUCCUACGGGAGGCAGCAGUAGGGAAUCUUCCGCAAUGGGCGAAAGCCUGACGGAGCAACGCCGCGUGAGUGAUGAAGGUCUUCGGAUCGUAAAACUCUGUUAUUAGGGAAGAACAUAUGUGUAAGUAACUGUGCACAUCUUGACGGUACCUAAUCAGAAAGCCACGGCUAACUACGUGCCAGCAGCCGCGGUAAUACGUANGUGGCAAGCGUUAUCCGGAAUUAUUGGGCGUAAAGCGCGCGUAGGCGGUUUUUUAAGUCUGAUGUGAAAGCCCACGGCUCAACCGUGGAGAGUCAUUGGAAACUGGAAAACUUGAGUGCAGAAGAGGAAAGUGGAAUUCCAUGUGUAGCGGUGAAAUGCGCAGAGAUAUGGAGGAACACCAGUGGCGAAGGCGACUUUCUGGUCUGUAACUGACGCUGAUGUGCGAAAGCGUGGGGAUCAAACAGGAUUAGAUACCCUGGUAGUCCACGCCGUAAACGAUGAGUGCUAAGUGUUAGGGGGUUUCCGCCCCUUAGUGCUGCAGCUAACGCAUUAAGCACUCCGCCUGGGGAGUACGACCGCAAGGUUGAAACUCAAAGGAAUUGACGGGGACCCGCACAAGCGGUGGAGCAUGUGGUUUAAUUCGAGGCAACGCGAAGAACCUUACCAAAUCUUGACAUCCUUUGACAACUCUAGAGAUAGAGCCUUCCCCUUCGGGGGACAAAGUGACAGGUGGUGCAUGGUUGUCGUCAGCUCGUGUCGUGAGAUGUUGGGUUAAGUCCCGCAACGAGCGCAACCCUUAAGCUUAGUUGCCAUCAUUAAGUUGGGCACUCUAAGUUGACUGCCGGUGACAAACCGGAGGAAGGUGGGGAUGACGUCAAAUCAUCAUGCCCCUUAUGAUUUGGGCUACACACGUGCUACAAUGGACAAUACAAAGGGCAGCGAAACCGCGAGGUCAAGCAAAUCCCAUAAAGUUGUUCUCAGUUCGGAUUGUAGUCUGCAACUCGACUACAUGAAGCUGGAAUCGCUAGUAAUCGUAGAUCAGCAUGCUACGGUGAAUACGUUCCCGGGUCU
rnacentral:rRNA from 1 species